rnacentral:rRNA from 1 species
AGGAUGAACGCUGGCGGCGUGCCUAACACAUGCAAGUCGAACGUCCUGUCUCGCAAGAGGCAGGGAGUGGCGGACGGGUGAGUACCACGUGGGUCAUCUACCGUGAGGUGAGGAAUACCGGCGAGAAAUCGCCGACAAGACCGCAUAGGCUCGAUGCAAGUCGAGCAAAGCUCUUUCGAGAGAGGGAGCGCCACACGAGGAGCCUGCGCCCGAUUAGCUAGCUGGUGGAGUAACGGUUCACCAGGGCGACGAUCGGUAGCUGGUCUGAGAGGACGAUCAGCCACACUGGGAUUGAGAACGGCCCAGACUCCUACGGGGGGCAGCAGUGAGGAAUUUUCGUCAAUGGGGGCAACCCUGAACGAGCAACGCCGCGUGCAGGAAGAAGGUUUUCGGAUCGUAAACUGCUUUUCUCGGGAAGAGAACGGACGGUACCCGAGGAAUCGAGCCCCGGCUAACUACGCGCCAGCAGCCGCGGU